rnacentral:rRNA from 1 species
GCCGCGGUAAUUACGGAGGGUGCGAGCGUUAAUCGGAAGUUACUGGGCGUAAAGCGCAUGCAGGCGGCCUGUUAAGUUCAGAUGUGAAAGCCCGGGGCGUUAACCUCGGGAAUUGCAUUUGAAACUGGCAGGCUAGAGUCUUGUAGAGGGGGGUAGGAAUUUCAGGUGUAGCGGUGAAAUGCGUAGAGAUCUGAAGGAAUACCAGUGGCGAAGGCGGCCCCCUCGGACAAAGACUGACGCUCAGAUGCGAAAGCGUGGGGAGCAAACAGGAUUAGAUACCCCUGGUAG